rnacentral:rRNA from 1 species
CAAUAGCGUAUAUUAAAGUUGUUGCAGUUAAAAAGCUCGUAGUUGAAUUUUUGCUUGCCGCCGAUGUCGGAACUUCCGUACGUUCGGCGGCGUGCAUCCUUGGGUGGAACCUGUGUGGCAUUAGGUUGUCGUGCAGGGGAUGCUCAUCGUUUACUGUGAAAAAAUUAGAGUGUUCAAAGCAGGCUUACGCCGUUGAAUAUAUUAGCAUGGAAUAAUAAGAUAGGACCUUGGUACUAUUUUGUUGGUUUGCGCACCGAGGUAAUGAUUAACAGGGACAGUUGGGGGUAUUCGUAUUCCAUUGUCAGAGGUGAAAUUCUUGGAUUUCUGGAAGACGAACUACUGCGAAAGCAUUUACCGAGGAUGUUUUCAUUAA